rnacentral:misc_RNA from 1 species
AUUCUGUGAGAUAAGAUAUGAAAGAUAUCAGAUGCUUUUCCAAUAUAAAUAAGAACGGACUCUUGGCAACUCAACACCCAGUUAGAACAGCGCGUCAUAACAGAGUGUGUUGGAGUCAGUGCCGUCAAGCCCCGCGUUGUUGCCUUUUCGGAUUUUUAUUACAAAAUAACCGUAGAAGUGAUCUUAAACAAGAGAAGAAAUAGAUUUGAUAUCUAUAUUCUGUUAGUAACCGAACCCUGUGUCAUCGUGACUUCAGUUGAUAUAGUGUGCAAUGGCCAAUACAUGUGACCUGAAUUGCGAGUGCCAUGACCUCGUAGAAGCACUGGACAACCCUCCUUGUUACACGUGCGCACAGACCGUCUGUUCAGUUGCAGGGAAAAGUCAAGAAAACCUGCCCCUUCAGUACCACCUAGACCCGGUGACUCACGAGAAGGAGGUGAGUGAUCCAGAACCCACAACAUGUGCCCGAUAUUAAGGGAUCACAGAUGGUGGGCGGGACAGAACUCACGAUGGAAAGAAUGUGGAAAAGGAUAUGGAUAAGACGGAAUGAUUCUGCAAUACAAGAUAUGGAAGUGACGCUUUGAUAUCACGACUUUUAUCUCGAUUACGUAAUCUCUGACCGAUGAAGACAUAAUAGAAAAAUAAAAUCAAACUAGA